CCUUUCCCCUUCUUCCUCUCCUCUCUCCUCUCCCCCCCCUCUCUUAGCCGCCGUUGCUUCUCCGACCACUGCCCACGCCCUCAGCCUACCGGAAAUCACCCACUGGCGGAUGAGCACCGCCAAACCACCCCAAACUUUCACCCCAUCCUCAUCUCAACUUUCUAUCUCCAAAUCCAAUCCCCAAAUUCCCUAAAUCUCUUUCUAUCCUCACGAAUCCCAUUUUGGCCGAAACCCUAGCCUUUAUUUCUUUUCAAAUUGGUCAACUUCUAGCCAUCCCCACCCCAUGAAACUCAUAUACGGAUGUAUCUCCAUUUGAUUUAUCUUUUGACAUUGGUUUCAACCCCAAACUGCAACGUUUCCAUUUCCCGGCAAGCUCGCCGGUGACCACAUGUCCGCCAGUUCUGCUUUCAGCAUUUUUUUCCAUCUCAAAACGCCCGUUUCUUUUUAGCACGACUCUGCAAUGCAAUAGUUUCAGCGUGUGCUAAAAAGAAACGUCUGUUUUAAGGUCGGACAACCACCACGUGAUAUCGUCGGUAACUUAUCGUUAUUCACACUCUGUUUGGAUCAUUGUUAUCCAUCGUUUCAUAAUGUAUUGUAUCGUAUCGUAUUGUAUUGUAUUAUUUUAUGAAUACAACGUUUGAUUAAAUUGUAUUAUUUGUUAUUGUUAAAUAACAUUUUGUUGUUUGGUUUGACUAUUGAAUUAUACUGUAACUGAUAAGUUUACUAAAAUAUCCUUAAUUAUUUUAAAUAUUAAAUUUAUCAAGAAUUAUGCAUAAAAAUAAUUUAAGAAAAUCCCUUUCUACUAAAAUAAAAAAUUAACUAUCAUUAGAAAACAAAUAAUAAAGAACGAUGAUAGAGAAACAAACGAAGACCGUGCACUUGCCGAACAAAGGAACGAAGAUAAAUAAGUAACACUUUGCACACUUGAAAACAACUACUUUAGAAUUGGAGUUAAAAUCAAAGUAGGAGAAAAACAAAACAAAAGAAGGCAAAACCUAUUCUUACUACCUUUGACGUUGGAGUAGGGAAUAGUAAGCGGCAAAAGAAAAAAAGGGACGAAGACAAAGUAAGUUAAAUGCUAGAGAUUUGGAGUUAAAAAAAAAGUAAAGGGUAAAAUAUAAUUUUAAAGUAAUAAGUUAGGGCAUAAUUGGAAAGAUAAAUAGGAAACAGUCCUACCACACCAAAUCGGUUGUUUCAAAAAAUGAAACUUUUCAAUACAACCAAUUUUAACAAAACAAUCAAAACAAACUUUGUUUUGGGAUAACAUAUAAUACGAUACAAUGGAUAACAACCAUCUAAACAAGCUGUCAAACCUCGAUGUUCCUGAAUAUUGGUAUAAAAUCAAAAUCUAAUCCUUUGCUCCUAUGUUUAUGUUAGGACCUAAAUAAUCAGGCAUCAUGCGGGAGUUAGUAAAGCAAACCUUGAACGACGAUAAAUCCAAC
rnacentral:lncRNA from 1 species